AGACAACUAGGAUGUUGGCUUAGAAGCAGCCAUCAUUUAAAGAGUGCGUAAUAGCUCACUAGUCGAGUGACACUGCGCCGAAAAUGUACCGGGGCUAAACAUAUUACCGAAGCUGUGGAUUGUCCUUUAGGACAAUGGUAGGAGAGCGUUCUAAGGGCGUUGAAGCAUGAUCGCAAGGACAUGUGGAGCGCUUAGAAGUGAGAAUGCCGGUGUGAGUAGCGAAAGACGGGUGAGAAUCCCGUCCACCGAUUGACUAAGGUUUCCAGAGGAAGGCUCGUCCGCUCUGGGUUAGUCGGGUCCUAAGCUGAGGCCGACAGGCGUAGGCGAUGGAUAACAGGUUGAUAUUCCUGUACCACCAUGAUUCGUUUUAAGCGAUGGGGGGACGCAGUAGGAUAGGCGAAGCGUGCUGUUGGAGUGCACGUCUAAGCAGUGAGACUGAGUGUUAGGCAAAUCCGGCACUCAUUAAGGUCAAGCUGUGAUGGGGAGAAGAAACAUGUUUUCUUCGAGUCGUUGAUUUCACACUGCCAAGAAAAGCCUCUAGCUAGAAGAUUGGUGCCCGUACCGCAAACCGACACAGGUAGUCAAGAUGAGAAUUCUAAGGUGAGCGAGCGAACUCUCGUUAAGGAACUCGGCAAAAUGACCCCGUAACUUCGGGAGAAGGGGUGCUCUUUGAGGUUCACGCUUCGAAGAGCCGCAGUGAAUAGGCCCAAGCGACUGUUUAUCAAAAACACAGGUCUCUGCUAAACCGUAAGGUGACGUAUAGGGGCUGACGCCUGCCCGGUGCUGGAAGGUUAAGAGGAGUGGUUAGCAUUAGCGAAGCUACGAAUCGAAGCCCCAGUAAACGGCGGCCGUAACUAUAACGGUCCUAAGGUAGCGAAAUUCCUUGUCGGGUAAGUUCCGACCCGCACGAAAGGCGUAACGAUUUGGGCACUGUCUCAACGAGAGACUCGGUGAAAUCAUAGUACCGGUGAAGAUGCCGGUUACCCGCGACAGGACGGAAAGACCCCGUGGAGCUUUACUGUAGCCUGAUAUUGAAAUUCGGUACAGUUUGUACAGGAUAGGUAGGAGCCUUAGAAGCGUGAGCGCUAGCUUACGUGGAGGCAUUGGUGGGAUACUACCCUAAUUGUAUUGGAUUUCUAACCCGCAACUCUUAUCGAGUUGGGAGACAGUGUCAGGCGGGCAGUUUGACUGGGGCGGUCGCCUCCUAAAGAGUAACGGAGGCGCUCAAAGGUUCCCUCAGAAUGGUUGGAAAUCAUUCAUAGAGUGUAAAGGCAUAAGGGAGCUUGACUGCGAGACCUACAAGUCGAGCAGGGUCGAAAGACGGACUUAGUGAUCCGGUGGUUCCGCAUGGAAGGGCCAUCGCUCAACGGAUAAAAGCUACCCCGGGGAUAACAGGCUUAUCUCCCCCAAGAGUUCACAUCGACGGGGAGGUUUGGCACCUCGAUGUCGGCUCAUCGCAUCCUGGGGCUGUAGUCGGUCCCAAGGGUUGGGCUGUUCGCCCAUUAAAGCGGUACGCGAGCUGGGUUCAGAACGUCGUGAGACAGUUCGGUCCCUAUCCGUCGUGGGCGUAGGAAAUUUGAGAGGAGCUGUCCUUAGUACGAGAGGACCGGGAUGGACAUACCUCUGGUGUACCAGUUGUCGUGCCAACGGCAUAGCUGGGUAGCUAUGUAUGGACGGGAUAAGUGCUGAAAGCAUCUAAGCAUGAAGCCCCCCUCAAGAUGAGAUUUCCCAACUUCGGUUAUAAGAUCCCUCAAAGAUGAUGAGGUUAAUAGGUUCGAGGUGGAAGCGUAGCGAUACGUGGAGCUGACGAAUACUAAUCGAUCGAAGACUUAAUCAAUUU
rnacentral:rRNA from 1 species